UACGUAGGUGGCAAGCGUUGUCCGGAUUUACUGGGCGUAAAGAGCGCGCAGGCGGUUGAUUAAGUCGAAUGUGAAAGCCCCCGGCUCAACUGGGGAGGGUCAUUCGAUACUGAUCGACUUGAAGGCAGGAGAGGGUAGUGGAAUUCCCGGUGUAGUGGUGAAAUGCGUAGAUAUCGGGAGGAACACCAGUGGCGAAGGCGACUACCUGGCCUGUUCUUGACGCUGAGGCGCGAAAGCGUGGGGAGCGAACAGG
rnacentral:rRNA from 1 species